rnacentral:rRNA from 1 species
UACGGAGGGUGCGAGCGUUGUCCGGAAUCAUUGGGCGUAAAGGGCGCGUAGGUGGCCCGGUCAGUUCGUGGUGAAAGCGCGGGGCUCAACCCUGCGUCGGCCAUGAAUACUGCCGCGGCUGGAGCACUGUAGAGGCAGGCGGAAUUCCGGGUGUAGCGGUGGAAUGCGUAGAGAUCCGGAAGAACACCGGUGGCGAAGGCGGCCUGCUGGGCAGUUGCUGACACUGAGGCGCGCAGCGUGGGGAGCAAACAGG